AACGCAUCUUGCGCUCUCUGGUAUUCCGGAGAGCAUGUCUGUUUGAGUGUCAUGAAUUCUUCAACCCACCGGUUUCUAGUUUAGACUGCUGUGGCGCUUGGAUCCUGAGCGUUUGCUCUGCCUCGGCAGAGCUCGUUCGUAAUGCAUUAGCUUUCUUGACUCGAAUCGGAUUGACUCGGCGUAAUAGACUAUUCGCUGAGGACAAGCUUCGCGCUUGGCCGGCUCGACUGUCAGACGAAGGCUUCUAGUCUGUCAUUCUUUUAAGAUUAGACCUCAAAUCAGAUAGGACUACCCGCUGAACUUAA
rnacentral:misc_RNA from 1 species